rnacentral:snRNA from 1 species
AUCGCUUCUCAGCCUUUUGGCUAAGAUCAAGUGUAGUAUCUGUUCUUAUCAGUUUAAAAUCAAGAUGUCAGCAGAGCUGCCUUUCCUCCUGGAGGCCUAGGAAGUCAGUUCAGUCACUCAGUUGUAUUCGACUCUUU